CCUACGGGAGGCAGCAGUGAGGAAUAUUGGUCAAUGGACGAGAGUCUGAACCAGCCAAGUAGCGUGAAGGAUGACUGCCCUAUGGGUUGUAAACUUCUUUUAUAAAGGAAUAAAACGAGGCACGUGUGCCUUUUUGCAUGUACUUUAUGAAUAAGGAUCGGCUAACUCCGUGCCAGCAGCCGCGGUAAUACGGAGGCUCCGAGCGGUAUACGGAUUUAUUGGGUUUAAAGGGAGCGUAGAUGGGUUGUUAAGUCAGUUGUGAAAGGUUGCGGCUCAACCGUAAAAUUGCAAUUGAUACUGGCAGUCUUGAGUACAGUUGAGGUAGGCGGAAUGCGUGGUGUAGCGGUGAAAUGCUUAGAUAUCACGAAGAACCCCGAUUGCGAAGGCAGCUUACUAAACUGUGACUGACAUUGAUGCUCGAAAGUGUGGGUAUCAAACAGGAUGAGAUACCCCUGUAGUC
rnacentral:rRNA from 1 species